rnacentral:rRNA from 1 species
UACGUAGGGGGCAAGCGUUAUCCGGAUUUACUGGGUGUAAAGGGAGCGUAGACGGUUAUGCAAGUCAGAAGUGAAAGCCCAAAGCUCAACUUCGGGACUGCUUUUGAAACUGUGUAACUAGAGUGCAGGAGGGGUAAGCGGAAUUCCUAGUGAAGCGGUGAAAUGCGUAGAUAUUAGGAGGAACACCGGCGGCGAAGGCGGCUUACUGGACUGUAACUGACGUUGAGGCUCGAAAGCGUGGGGAGCAAACAGG